rnacentral:rRNA from 1 species
UACGUAGGGGGCAAGCGUUGUCCGGAAUCAUCGGGCGUAAAGCGCGUGUAGGCGGCUCGAUAAGUCUGCUGUGAAAGUCCAAGGCUCAACCUUGGGAUGCCGGUGGAUACUGUCGAGCUCGAGUCCGGAAGAGGAGUGUGGAAUUCCUGGUGUAGCGGUGAAAUGCGCAGAUAUCAGGAGGAACACCAAUGGCGAAGGCAGCACUCUGGGACGUGACUGACGCUGAGACGCGAAAGCGUGGGGAGCAAACAGG